UACGUAGGGUGCAAGCGUUAAUCGGAAUUACUGGGCGUAAAGCGUGCGCAGGCGGUUAUGUAAGUCAGGCGUGAAAUCCCCGGGCUUAACCUGGGAACUGCAUUUGUGACUGCAUAGCUAGAGUACGGUAGAGGGGGGUGGAAUUCCGCGUGUAGCAGUGAAAUGCGUAGAUAUGCGGAGGAACACCGAUGGCGAAGGCAAUCCCCUGGACCUGUACUGACGCUCAUGCACGAAAGCGUGGGGAGCAAACAGG
rnacentral:rRNA from 1 species